CUUAAUUUGGAAAGAAUAAUUGUAGAAAAGUUGGUGGAAUAAACAGAAAAAACAUUGUUACAUCAGUGAAUGAUUUCGUUAUUAAAAAAAAAUCAUUACUCGAACUUGCUAAAAAAAUAAUAAAAACUUUACUCAAAUCAGCAAUUCAUAAAACUAUUACAUGUUUAAAAAUCGUUCUAACAUUCAACAAUCCUAGAACAUAUCUACUUUCAUCGAUGAACAAAUAGUAGAACAAGAAAGAAAGAAUAAUCCUAAUCAACUGAAACACUUUGAUACAGUCCUUGUGCAACAAAGCUGGAAGAUAUAAAGUGUGAGAGACUGAAUCAGUGGUGCCGCAGUGGGUCCCUGCCGAGCGUUUAGCAGACAUACACUAGCGAUUGAUCAACGAUGGUUGGAGACAGUAUGCACCAGCCGUUCCUACAAAACAGAUAUACAACCUCAAAAUGCAACAUUGAUUCAGAUACAUAAAAACUGUGAAAGAGUAGUGUGUCCAAGUUUUACAUAAUCAUUCAAUUAUCGAGCAUCUAAUUGAAUAAGGUCGUGAGGUUGUGACACGAAGAGAAGGAUGCGUUUCCAGGAAACUUAUAUUCAUAUAUUUCAACAAUAGAGAGUGUGAGGAACGUGCUUUACUGCAGUUGAAAAGUAUGCUAAUCAUAGGUUUGUUAUAGGUCAUAUUAGAGAAAAUGCAUGUCAGAGCAGCAACUACCUACAAUAUACGUUCCUAAAUACGAUUUACAGAUCUAUGGUAUGACAAAUGUACAAAUUUGUACACAAGUGAAUGUAAAAGUUGACGCCGGUUACAAGAGGAAAGUGUAACACAUGCUAUAAAUGAACUUUCGUCAAUAUCGAGGAUAAAUUUACUUACACAUCG
rnacentral:lncRNA from 1 species